GGCGAGAUGUCUUCGAGAGGGGAUCUUGACAAUGAUGGUUCUGAAAUGGAUGAAGAGAGAGAUGAAGAUUUUAAAAAUGAGACAGAGAACAGCCAUGGAAGUUAUAUUGGUUUCAAGCCUAGCAUUGAAGAUCUGGAGAUGCUCUUAGAGGCCUACUUUGUGUAGAUAGAUGGUACCUUAAACAAACUCUCCACUGUCAUGGAGAAGGUCGUUAAGAAGAUCUCGGAGUAGGAAAUUUCCUCGCCUAAAUAAUCCAAGACCCCGUUUAGGCCUGCAAUAGUUCUAUUUCAGGUGUUCUCUUCUGGUGUUAGUUUGGAGCAAAUCUAUUUGAGAUAUGGUAGCCUUAGGCACUGGAAUUCCCCAAACCAAGCUCUCGGGGAUUUGUCACAAGCCAAUUAAGCAAAGGUUAUUUCAUAAGAGUCAGGUUUCGAAAUGUGAUAUUGUAUCUGCAUUUCACAGUUCAGACAGAGAGCACCACCACUCACUCUCUUAUAAUGCAUCGUCUCUGUAUAUUCCAUCUAAAGAUAGAAAAUUUUUGGGGAAUUCAUCUUACUCCUCUGAAGCGUGCUCUUCUGAUGAGAACAUGGUUGGAGCUUCUUCGACUACUGCACGUGAGAAGGUUGGAGUGCUGUUGCUGAACCUUGGAGGCCCAGAGACCCUUCAGGAUGUGCAGCCGUUUCUGUUUAAUUUAUUUGCAGACCCAACUGCGAAGGAGGAGGAUAAUGAAAGGUUCUUGCUAAAGCUCAGGAAUCGAAUGGAGCGGUAAAGAUUAGAUUUUGAAUUGAGUAUUGAGUUUUGUUUGUUCGUUGUUUUUUUUAUUAAUUGGGUAAUUUUUUUGGUGUUUUGAGGUUGGGAUUGAUAAUCCAACGAUUGAGUUCCGAUUCGAGCAUUUGAACAUUGAUGCAAAGGCAUUUGUGGGGAAUCAAGGACAUACCUGAACAACAUCGAAGACAACACCAAAUGGUCUGCUUUUAUCGAUAACUAACGCCGUGACCGGAUUUGCGAAAGGAAAUUACCUGUCUGCUUCGCGUUGAGAGAGAAACAAUUGGUUACCGACGAUUCCCACCAUUUUUUGUUUCUUAUUAACUUUGGUGUCCAAUAAUUUACUCACUUUACACAGGAAGUGAAGGCCACCACUUCUCAUAUGUUACGAGAUGGAAGGCUUGGAUUUCUUUCUGACAUGAUUUUUUUUUUAAGAUAUUGCUCCCUCAAACCUUUCAUAUUCUUAAAAUCAUUGUAUUGCUGUUUAGUCCCCGAAAUCGCAUAGGUCAAUCACAGAUUAUUUA